GAGGCCCGAUGCCGUAUCCUGCCGCCCGUUUUACCCGCGGGAAAGCCGAGGCCCGGUGCUGUAUUCUGCCGCCCAUUUUACCCGCGGGGAAGCUGAGGCCCAGUGCUGUUUAAUAUCUUACUCAUGUUCACUUGAUGAGAAAGUGACAGAUCUGAGACAAACCCAGUUCUAGAGGUUAUGACACCAGCCAUGGAAGAGCAGAGAGGCCAAUGAGGUGGGGAGGUUGGAAACAAAAGGCCUUCUCCACCCCAGCUUGACCAACCCAAAAGCUGGAAGGCAAGGAAGACCUAGAUCGACAGAAAAGAAAUGAGUCAACGAUGGUGCAGAAAGGGACCAGCUUGACGAAGCUUCUGCUUUUGUGACUGUCUCCUAAUGCAGAAACCAGAGCACCUCAGAAGAUCAAGGCUUCCAAAUUCUCCUGGGGGAACAGACGUCAGCCAUUCAGCACAAAGGAAACUUCCUUCUCUGUAUGUCAGAGGAAGACAUAAUUGUGCCAUUUCCUUCUUGAAGAAGUUUACAAACAUUUGCAAGUUGUCAAAAAUAAUUAGUCUAAAAUUGUUUCAUAAACCGUGGAAUGAAACAGGACGUGCCUUGUUGAGAUCAAAGGGCUUCUGUUACCUUCUUGUAAACUCAAAUGAAAUUCUUUUGAAAGUAAA
ensembl:lncRNA MIR646HG MIR646 host gene